rnacentral:sRNA from 1 species
AUCUAUCCAAACAAUGUUGCGUUAGGGACUGAAGCGGCAUCCUUUUUUUGCAAAAAAAAGAUACAGCGGAAAGCCCGACCUGAA